UCGUUACGUCUCCUCCAGUAAAUUUCACCCACUAGCACCGAAACAGAGGGAUUUUCAAGGUCCAUAGUCAAGUUCCCAUAUCUCCUCAAUGACUCUAUAGUAUCUGUAUUUUUUUCCAUUGUUGUCUAUUGCAUAUAUACGAACACCACUAUUUUGAUUUGUGCUCUUUUGGUCUUGGGCUGUCGUGUAAAAUGUUUACCCAUUUAUGUCGUAUCCUUGGAAAGCCG
rnacentral:lncRNA from 1 species